rnacentral:rRNA from 1 species
UACAGAGGGGGCAAGCGUUGUUCGGAAUUACUGGGCGUAAAGGGCGCGUAGGCGGCCUUCUAAGUCGAACGUGAAAUCCCCGGGCUCAACCCGGGAACUGCGUCCGAUACUGGAAGGCUUGAAUCCGGGAGAGGGAUGUGGAAUUCCAGGUGUAGCGGUGAAAUGCGUAGAUAUCUGGAGGAACACCGGUGGCGAAGGCGACAUCCUGGACCAACACUGACGCUGAUGAGCGAAAGCCAGGGGAGCAAACGGG